AGCGAACGCUGGCGGCGUGCUUAACACAUGCAAGUCGAGCGAAGGUGUUUCAAGGGUAACCUUGAGAUACACUUAGCGGCGGACGGGUGAGUAAUACGUGGAUAACUUACCUCUAGGCCUGGGAUAACCCCGGGAAACUGGGGCUAAUACCUGAUAAGACCACAUUGUCUACGGACAAAGGGGUAAAAGGUGGCUGUGCAAACAGCUAUCGCCAAAAGAUAGGUUCACGUCCCAUCAGGCAGUUGGUGAGGUAAUGGCUCACCAAACCAAAGACGGGUAGCCGGCCUUGGCGGGUGAACGGCCACACGGGGACUGAGAUACGGCCCCGACUCCUACGGGAGGCAGCAGUGGGGAAUAUUGGGCAAUGGGCGCAAGCCUGACCCAGCGACGUCGCGUU
rnacentral:rRNA from 1 species